AGAUCAAUAGGCAUUGGGAGGGUAUUUUCCCAGCUCACAACCUCCUCUCCCGAGAGCCUUCCACCCACGGGAACUCUGCUUAGUUCACAAUCUGGCCCCUCCCCUGUGGCUGAAUAGACUGGAGAUGAGCUCAUAAUUGGGGCUCAGCCAAUCAGACCCCAGGGCCCUGUCCCUGACAGAGACCCCAGGGAGAUGUGGUUGCCCGCCCAUCCACCCAUCCCAGCGGAAAGAAAGCGUGUAGCCGCAAACGGAGUCCAACCCGGCUGGAAGUGCCCCCAGCCAAGCAGGGACCGGCUACCCUUUGCAGAUCCUUGGCCUGGCCCGGCAGAAAUGGGUGUCCCGGGGCAGAGGAUGGGAGGGGCGGGCCAGGCUUCUGGGCCACAGGCUGUAGGCGUGCGAUCAGAGACCAGUUAUCCCCUGGGAAGAGGGAAGGCGCUUCUGUUUCCCGGUCUGGCGAGUGGCUUUCUGUGGCACAUCGUAUCUUCCCCAAACGGCCACAAGAGUAUUUCUUUUUCCCACGUGCUCUUCGAGAACCCUGCCACUCUCCUCCACCAAGAGGGGGAGUCCACAUCCGGCCUCUCCGCGGUUGGGCGUGCAGGUUCUACAGGCUCCCUGGGUCCUUUCACCUCGGUUUCUGCGCCUGUAAAGUGGGGAUGCCAGUAACAGCAGGCUCUCAGAUGGAAAGAACAUUACACCGCGUUUCCCUAAUUCUGGGACGGCGUGAGCUCUGAUAUGCACCAUCGACGGCAUUUUUUUUUUUUUUUUUUCAGAGGAAAAGGAGGAAAUGCUACCGUUCGGAAUCGUAAGACUUCUCCCGAUUUUAGAAAAGUUAACGUCUAUGGAGGAAGCCUUCUUAGGUCAAGGAAAUAGUGUGGAACCAAGUAAUCACAGUGGGGGCCGUCGGCAGGGGAGAAUAAAAUUUAUUUUUAUUUUUA